rnacentral:Y_RNA from 1 species
UCGGCGAAUGCCGGUGGAACUACAGAUCAAAAUCUCCAUGUCGCGGGUUCGAAUCCCGCCAUCGCAUCCGCGGUGUAGCUCAGUCAGGUAGAGCGGGUUCGUUUCACCAAGGUCGUUCUUUGCUCG